AUGAUUAAUGAAGCUUGGAUAGCAGCUGCUUCAGGAGAACAAGGGCUUGCUGCAACAUGGGAUAGACUUGGAGCAAUGGCGGGUUCAAUGCAGCGGUGGGCAAGAGAGGUAUUCGGCUCUAUUAGGAGACAAGUGGCGAAACUGAAAGCGCAACUGCUGGAUGCUAAAAAUAGAUCCCUCGUGUCGAGGUCCUCACUGGAGGUCCGCGAGUUGGAGGAACAGCUGCGUGAAAUUUAUGCUCGGGAGGAAAUCAUGUAUAGGCAGAGGUCACGAGUGGAUUGGCUAAAAGCAGGCGAUCAAAACACUAAAUAUUUUCAGAAUAGAGCCUCUCAUAGGAAAAGGAAGAACACAGUGAAAGCUCUGAAGUGGGAUGAUGGGUCUUUGUGCAGGGUUGAUGAGGAGAUGCGCAACAUGGUUGCUCACUUCUACGAACAGCUAUUCACAUCGGAAGGUACACAGGGGGCGGCUGACUUGUUACAAAACAUUGAUAGCUUGGUGACGGAGGAUAUGAACAAGCUGCUGCUCGAGCCGAUCAAGGAUGAGGAAAUUGAGUCGGCGCUCUUCCAGAUGGGACCCACGAAGGCACCGGGGCCGGAUGGAUUACCGGCUCUCUUUUACCAACGACACUGGUCGCUGGUUCGACAUGAUGUGUGCCGGGCAGUAAAGGACUUUUUGAAUGGGGUAGCUGCUCCAGAGGCUUUCAAUGAUACGAUUAUCGUCACGAUCCCGAAAUGUAGCUCACCGGAGUUACUUUCACAGUUUCGUCCGAUCAGCCUCUGUAAUGUUCUCUACAAGAUCGCGACGAAGGUCUUGGCUAACCGGCUUAAGGGCAUUCUACCUGUGCUUAUCUCUGAGGAGCAAAGUGCCUUCAUCCCGGGGCGGUUGAUUACUGAUAAUGUGAUUGUUGCGUAUGAGUGCGUGCAUGCUAUACGUAAACGGAAGCGGAAGAAACCUUUUUGUGCAGUCAAGCUCGAUAUGAUGAAGGCGUAG
rnacentral:rRNA from 1 species